UGCGUAGGCGGUCUGGUAAGUCAGAGGUGAAAGCUCGCAGCUUAACUGUGGAAUUGCCUUUGAUACUGUCAGGCUUGAAUCAGGCUGAGGUAGGCGGAAUGUGGCAUGUAGCGGUGAAAUGCUUAGAUAUGCCAUAGAACACCAAUUGCGAAGGCAGCUUACUAGACCUGAAUUGACGCUGAGGCACGAAAGCGUGGGGAGCGAACAGGAUUAGAUACCCUGGUAGUCC
rnacentral:rRNA from 1 species